CUCAGAUCUUCCUGGCUCUUCCACUAGCUGUGAGACAUGGGGCAAGGCUCCAGAUUCAGCUGGGCCUUUAUUAACCAGCCCUGGAGUUAAAUCAUCAACCCAGAGGUCUGUCCUAGCCCUGGAGCCCAAGGAGACCCCUGAUUAUGCAGCAAGCAGGGCUGAAGUUUCCAUUUAAUUUUUGCAUCACAUCUUUAGCACUAUUGGACAUCCUAGAAACCUCAUUCACAAGAUUUCAAGUUUGAAGUGAUAGUGUUUGCUACCAGAGCCCCUUUUCUGUCAAAGAAAUUAGAAGCAGGAAGGUUGAUGCAUUCCCCCACAGAAAGAAAAGAGGUCUUUUAGAAUAAUGUGAAACUCACACUCUGCAUGGGGACAGAGCCACUUCCACUUGCUCCAGGCCACAGAGUUCUCUCUCCCGUGACAGUUUCCUUCCUGUGCAAUAGUAUCGCCUCUGGAACUUCCUCACCUGCCACCUGGUGCUGCUACAUGUCCACUUGGGCUCACAUAUUUUCCCACCGAUAGACAAGAGAUUACCAGAAAAGGGGUGAGGAAUCCAGAGAGAAUGUCUGCAUAAGAAGGAGGGUGGAGAUUUCUUACUGAACUAAAGGCUUCAAGAAUUGGCAAAUACCUGCUCAACUUUUGUAUUUCUGAUGACUGGAUGACUCCACCUGGACCCGAGACUCAUGACUCACCCAGUCCUGUGGCCCCACCCAGAAGUGGACUCAGAGCAAGAGGACCAUUUUCCACACCCCAAUGAGUGCAUCCCCAACCAAUCAGCAGCACCUGUUCCCUAGCCCCCUGACCACCAAACUCUCCUUGAGAAACCGUAGCCUCCAAAUUUUCUGGGAGGCUGAUUUGAGUAAUAA
rnacentral:lncRNA from 1 species